AUGGCGUCAGGAUGGGGAAUCACCGGAAACAAAGGCCGAUGCUACGAUUUCUGGAUCGAUUUCAGCGAGUGUAUGUCUACUUGCAGAGAACCCAAAGACUGUACUCUCCUCCGUGAAGAUUACCUCGAAUGCCUCCACCAUUCCAAAGAGUUCCAACGAAGAAACAGGGUUUACAAGGAGGAGCAACGCAAAAUAAGAGCUGCUGCCAGGAAAGGUCAGGAGGAUGGGGUUGUGAGUGAACAUCAUUAG